GAGGAGGUGGUUUAAUUAGAUGCAAGCGGAAUAUCCUUACCUGCACUAUCUUCCUUGGAAUUUCCAAAAGAGGCUUUGGUCCCUUCGGGAACCUUGAGCCAGGUUCUGCAUGCCAGUCGUCAACCCUUGUUGUGAAAAUUUGGGUUAAGUCCCGCAACGAGCCCAACCCUUAUCCUUUUUGCCAACCGGUUAGGUCGGGAACUCAAAGGAGACUGCCGGUGAUAAACCGGAGGAAGGUGGGGAUGACGUCAAGUCAUCAUGGCCCUUACGAGUAGGGCUACACACGUGUUACAAUGGCCCAUACAAAGAGAAGCCACCUCGCGAGACCAAGCUUAACUCACAAAGUGCGUCGUAGUCCGGACCGCACUCUGCAACUCGACUGCGUGAAGUCGGAAUCGCUAGUAAUACG
rnacentral:rRNA from 1 species